rnacentral:rRNA from 1 species
UCGAUGGCGACCGGCGCACGGGUGAGUAACACGUAUCCAACCUGCCGAUGACUCGGGGAUAGCCUUUCGAAAGAAAGAUUAAUACCCGAUGGCAUAGUUCUUCCGCAUGGUGGAACUAUUAAAGAAUUUCGGUCAUCGAUGGGGAUGCGUUCCAUUAGGUUGUUGCGGGUAACGGCCCACCAAGCCUUCGAUGGAUAGGGGUUCUGAGAGGAAGGUCCCCCACAUUGGUACUGAGACACGGACCAAACUCCUACGGGAGGCAGCAUG